rnacentral:tRNA from 1 species
GCCUGGGUGGCUCAGUGGUUGAGUGUCAGCCUUUGGCUCGGGUCGCGAUCCUGGGGUCCUGGGAUCGAGUCCCACCUCAGGCU